GAUGAACGCUGGCGGCGUGCUUAACACAUGCAAGUCGAACGGAAAGGCCCAAGCUUGCUUGGGUGCUCGAGUGGCGAACGGGUGAGUAACACGUGGGUGAUCUGCCCUGCACUUUGGGAUAAGCCUGGGAAACUGGGUCUAAUACCGGAUAGGACCAUCGUUUAGUGUCGGUGGUGGAAAGUUUUUCGGUGUGGGAUGAGCUCGCGGCCUAUCAGCUUGUUGGUGGGGUAAUGGCCUACCAAGGCGUCGACGGGUAGCCGGCCUGAGAGGGUGUACGGCCACAUUGGGACUGAGAUACGGCCCAGACUCCUACGGGAGGCAGCAGUGGGGAAUAUUGCACAAUGGGCGCAAGCCUGAUGCAGCGACGCCGCGUGGGGGAUGACGGCCUUCGGGUUGUAAACGCCUUUCGCCAAGGACGAAGCGUUUUGUGACGGUACUUGGAGAAGAAGCACCGGCUAACUACGUG
rnacentral:rRNA from 1 species